rnacentral:rRNA from 1 species
CCUACGGGAGGCAGCAGUAGGGAAUUUUCGUCAAUGGGCGCAAGCCUGAACGAGCAAUGCCGCGUGAACGAGGAAGGUCCUCGGAUCGUUAAGUUCUGUUGAAGGGGAAAAAGAGCGGAGAGCGGAAAUGCUUUCUGGUUGAUAUUACCCUGCGAGGAAGUCACGGCUAACUACGUGCCAGCAGCCGCGGUAAUACGUAGGUGGCGAGCGUUAUCCGGAAUGAUUGGGCGUAAGGGGUGCGUAGGCGGCCUGCUAAGUCUGGAGUGAAAUGUACGGGCUCAAUCGGUGCCGGCUCUGGAAACUGGCGGGCUAGAGAGCAGGAGAGGGCGGUGGAACUCGAUGUGUAGCGGUAAAAUGCGUAGAUA